CGCGGCCUAUCAGCUUGUUGGUGAGGUAAUGGCCUACCAAGGCGACGACGGGUAGCCGGCCUGAGAGGGUGACCGGCCACACUGGGACUGAGACACGGCCCAGACUCCUACGGGGGGCAGCAGUGGGGAAUAUUGCACAAUGGGCGCAAGCCUGAUGCAGCGACGCCGCGUGAGGGAUGACGGCCUUCGGGUUGUAAACCUCUUUCAGUAGGGAAGAAGCGAAAGUGACGGUACCUGCAGAAGAAGCGCCGGCUAACUACGUGCCAGCAGCCGCGGUAAUACGUAGGGCGCAAGCGUUAUCCGGAAUUAUUGGGCGUAAAGAGCUCGUAGGCGGUUUGUCGCGUCUGCCGUGAAAGUCCGGGGCUCAACUCCGGAUCUGCGGUGGGUACGGGCAGACUAGAGUGAUGUAGGGGAGACUGGAAUUCCUGGUGUAGCGGUGAAAUGCGCAGAUAUCAGGAGGAACACCGAUGGCGAAGGCAGGUCUCUGGGCAUUAACUGACGCUGAGGAGCGAAAGCAUGGGGAGCGAACAGGAUUAGAUACCCUGGUAGUCCAUGCCGUAAACGUUGGGCACUAGGUGUGGGGGACAUUCCACGUUUUCCGCGCCGUAGCUAACGCAUUAAGUGCCCCGCCUGGGGAGUACGG
rnacentral:rRNA from 1 species